rfam:Bacillus sp. B-jedd genome assembly, contig: CONTIG000001
UUCUUAUCAAGAGAGAUGGAGGGACUGGCCCGUUGAAAUCUCGGCAGCGGAACUUAGCGUUUCUGUGCCAAAUCCAGCAAGCAAAGACUUGAAAGAUAAGAU